GGAGAAUACAGCAGUCUGCAACCCAGAAGACGGCCCUCACCAGAACCUGACACGCUGGCACCCGAUCUCAGACUGCCAGCCUCCAGAACUCAUUCUCCAUGAAGGAGGUACUAUUACUAUCAUCACUUACAGAAGAGGAAACUGAGGCACAGAGCCUCCCUCUGCGGAAAAGGAGCUGGGUCUGGACGCAGGUCUAUGUUCAAGUCCCAGUUCCCGACUGUGAAUUCCCUUCUCCCUGGCUCUCGGUUCCCCAUCUCUACAAUGGGACUAUUACGGUCCUCCGCACAGGGCCUCUCUGAGUAUGACAAGAGAAUAAUGCAUGCGAGUGUGCUUUGCAAACUCUAGAGUUCUAUACAAAUGUAAGGACAUCAACAUCCUUUUUUC
rnacentral:lncRNA from 1 species